rnacentral:rRNA from 1 species
UACGUAGGGUGCGAGCGUUGUCCGGAAUUACUGGGCGUAAAGAGCUCGUAGGUGGUUUGUCGCGUUGUUCGUGAAAACUCACAGCUUAACUGUGGGCGUGCGGGCGAUACGGGCAGACUGGAGUACUGCAGGGGAGACUGGAAUUCCUGGUGUAGCGGUGGAAUGCGCAGAUAUCAGGAGGAACACCGGUGGCGAAGGCGGGGUCUCUGGGCCGAUACUGACGCUGAGGAGCGAAAGCGUGGGGGAGCGAACAGG